AUUGAACGCUGGCGGCAUGCCUUACACAUGCAAGUCGAACGGUAACAGGUCUUCGGAUGCUGACGAGUGGCGAACGGGUGAGUAAUACAUCGGAACGUGCCCGAGAGUGGGGGAUAACGAAGCGAAAGCUUUGCUAAUACCGCAUACGAUCUCAGGAUGAAAGCAGGGGGCCGAAAGGCCUUGCGCUCACGGAUCGGCCGAUGGCAGAUUAGGUAGUUGGUGGGAUAAAAGCUUACCAAGCCGACGAUCUGUAGCUGGUCUGAGAGGACGAACAGCCACACUGGGACUGGGACACGGCCCAGACUCCUGCGGGAGGCAGCAAUGGGGAAUUUUGGACAAUGGGCGCAAGCCUGAUCCAGCCGUGCCGCGUGCAGGAUGAAGGCCUUCGGGUUGUAAACUGCUUGUGUACGGAACGAAAAGACUCCUUCUAAUAAAGGGGGUCCAUGACGGUACCAUAAGAAUAAGCACCGGCUAACUACGUGCCAGCAGCCGCAGUAACAC
rnacentral:rRNA from 1 species